CCCGCAGGACGACACGGCCACCAUCGAGCCCCACUUCACCACCAACUGCACCAUGGCGGCUCCGCCAGGCCAGAACAUCACGCUAGAAGGACAGUACCUGUGCUACCAGGGACCCGGGAUCCCGCUGGACAAGCUGUGUGAUUUCACUCCGGACUGCCCGCACGGCGACGACGAAGGAGACCGAUGUCGACGUUUCCUCAACGGCAGCUACUGCUCUUUUGAAGACGGCGACUGCAGCUGGCAGCCGGCGUCGGGCCGCGGCCUCUCCUGGAGGAAGUUCCGGUCGCUACCCAAGGCGACCCGACAGAGCUGCCCGGCCUCAGGUUCUACGUUCACUGUCGAAGGAGGCCAGUCUAAAGGUCAGCGUGGCUUAGCUUUGCUGAGGAGCCCGCUCUUCCCUCCUCCUCUGAGAAACUCCCCUUGCACGGUAAAACUCCUCACAGUGUGUGACUUUCCUUUAUUUCGAUUUGAAAUCAUGAAAUACAGAGUUUGUUGUGUGGAAAUACAU
rnacentral:lncRNA from 1 species